rnacentral:rRNA from 1 species
GUUUGACUGGGGCGGUCGCCUCCUAAAAGGUAACGGAGGCGCUCAAAGGUUCCCUCAGAAUGGUUGGAAAUCAUUCAUAGAGUGUAAAGGCAUAAGGGAGCUUGACUGCGAGACCUACAAGUCGAGCAGGGUCGAAAGACGGACUUAGUGAUCCGGUGGUUCCGCAUGGAAGGGCCAUCGCUCAACGGAUAAAAGCUACCCCGGGGAUAACAGGCUUAUCUCCCCCAAGAGUUCACAUCGACGGGGAGGUUUGGCACCUCGAUGUCGGCUCAUCGCAUCCUGGGGCUGUAGUCGGUCCCAAGGGUUGGGCUGUUCGCCCAUUAAAGCGGUACGCGAGCUGGGUUCAGAACGUCGUGAGACAGUUCGGUCCCUAUCCGUCGUGGGCGUAGGAAAUUUGAGAGGAGCUGUCCUUAGUACGAGAGGACCGGGAUGGACAUACCUCUGGUGUACCAGUUGUCGUGCCAACGGCAUAGCUGGGUAGCUAUGUGUGGACGGGAUAAGUGCUGAAAGCAUCUAAGCAUGAAGCCCCCCUCAAGAUGAGAUUUCCCAACUUCGGUUAUAAGAUCCCUCAAAGAUGAUGAGGUUAAUAGGUUCGAGGUGGAAGCAUGGUGACAUGUGGAGCUGACGAAUACUAA